rnacentral:rRNA from 1 species
UACAGAGGGGGCAAGCGUUGUUCGGAAUUACUGGGCGUAAAGGGCGCGUAGGCGGCCUGCUAAGUCGGAUGUGAAAUCCCUCGGCUCAACCGAGGAACUGCAUCCGAUACUGGCGGGCUUGAAUCCGGGAGAGGGAUGUGGAAUUCCAGGUGUAGCGGUGAAAUGCGUAGAUAUCUGGAGGAACACCGGUGGCGAAGGCGGCAUCCUGGACCGGUAUUGACGCUGAGGCGCGAAAGCUAGGGGAGCAAACGGGG